CAGGAGGAGGUGACAGCCAGAAAGCCGGGAGCUGUCCACGAAGGCCGGGGAUGGAGGGUGCCAGGGAAGGCAGGUGACAGUAUCAGACCCCGUGCGGGCCUUGUCACCACCACGGUGCUGAAGCUACUAGCUAAGCCUACCAGAAGCCAAGGCUGCUCCCUUCCCUGUGCCACCCGAGGGCCCAUGAGCUACCAGCUCCAUGCAAGGAAGGGAAGUUCUGUGUGUGUCUCUUCCUGAGAACCCACCUUUGAGAUCCAGG